rnacentral:rRNA from 1 species
GAUGAACGCUGGCGGCGUGCCUAAUACAUGCAAGUCGAACGAACGGACGAGAAUCUUGCUUCUCUGAUGUUAGCGGCGGACGGGUGAGUAACACGUGGAUAACCUACCUAUAAGACUGGGAUAACUUCGGGAAACCGUAGCUAAUACCGGAUAAUAUUUUGAACCGCAUGGUUCAAAAGUGAAAGACGGUCUUGCUGUCACUUAUAGAUGGAUCCGCGCUGCAUUAGCUAGUUGGUAAGGUAACGGCUUACCAAGGCAACGAUGCAUAGCCGACCUGAGAGGGUGAUCGGCCACACUGGAACUGAGACACGGUCCAGACUCCUACGGGAGGCAGCAGUAGGGAAUCUUCCGCAAUGGGCGAAAGCCUGACGGAGCAACGCCGCGUGAGUGAUGAAGGUCUUCGGAUCGUAAAACUCUGUUAUUAGGGAAGAACAUAUGUGUAAGUAACUGUGCACAUCUUGACGGUACCUAAUCAGAAAGCCACGGCUAACUACGUG